rnacentral:lncRNA from 1 species
GAAUCUUCCUGUCCAUUUUCUUCAUAAACACCUAAAAUCCUCUCAUCAUCUUGCAAUGUACCUAACUUGCAUAAUUGUCCUUCAAUAUCAUAUAAUCUUUUUCUUUCUUUUCUUUUAAAAUCAUCAACUUUCUUAUACAUAAUAUUUCUAUUCUCCAAAAUAUCAAUAAAACUCGCAUCAAAGGCACCUUCAUCUCGCGAGAGUACCUCCUCUUUUGUACCUCCAUAAUCUCGCUUUACAGUGGUACCUCGCCAAAAUCCUUAAAUCCAUCAACAAUCUUUGG